GUCCCUGUAGUGCAUGGAUAGCACGUUGGACUUCUAAUCUAAAGGAUAUGGGUUCGAAUCCCACCUGGGAUU